GUCGGCUGAAAAGUUCAUUCGGGUUUUCCCAUAACAUCUUAUGGAAAAACCUGAAUGAACUUUUUGGUCAACCCA
rnacentral:miRNA from 1 species